rnacentral:lncRNA from 1 species
UAAAUUGUAAUUAUUUGUUAAGUUAAAUCGAAAAAUAAAAAUAUUAAAAGUCAUAAAAAUAAAAUUAAGUGCUUGUUAGAUUAACUUGCAAAUUAAGAUGUUAAAGUGACUAAACAAUUAAAAUCGGAGUGUUUAAACAUGCAUUUGUGACCAAGUCCAAUCAAAACACAUCAAUUUUCCCACCAAUCUUCAAAUUUAAAACAUUUUUUGUCUUUGAUUUUCCAAGCAAAAAAUUAACCAAAGUCUCCCAAUUUUUCACUUGAAAUCCCCUUUACUCGUAAAUACAAACUCUCUAAAUCCAUACGAAAACCCAAAUGACCACUAACCUUCAUUACUUAGUGCUGAAGUAGUCCAUCAAUUUCCGCCCCUCACCACCAGGAGCAGCUCCAUCGGAUGUUGUCUCCAUACCAUUAGCGAUGUCGCUUAGUAGCUACAGGUGGGCUUCGAUUGAAUCAUCUCCUCCUUCAACACACAAGGGGAGUAAGAGCUGCAGAAAUAACAGCUCCUUCCC